rnacentral:lncRNA from 1 species
ACCUAGCAGCAUGUAGUGGCAACCCAGCAGAAUAGAAUGAAUGAACCUCUAGGUGCAGUUAUCGUAUGAUACAGUCCUUUUAUCGUGGAUCCCUACAAGAUGGAGGUCAUGGAUAACUCGUCAAACCCUAUCAUCUGUCAUAUGUCCAGAUUUAUUCGACUAUAGUUCGAAAGUAAAAAAUUUCUUUUCCACUGUAUAUACUGCCCCGGGCGAAGUCUUUCGAACUCAGUCCUAUAAAUCACAUAGAACCACUCCUUAUCUACCAAGGUCGAUGGAUUCCAUAUAGGUGUAUACCCUACUCCUACAGUGAACCUACUGCAGCCAAUCUGCACCACAAGAAUCCAUAUGGCUAGAGACCAUAUAUAUGUGCAGUCAAAC